AUUGAACGCUGGCGGCAUGCCUUACACAUGCAAGUCGAACGGUAACAGGUCUUCGGAUGCUGACGAGUGGCGAACGGGUGAGUAAUACAUCGGAACGUGCCUAGUAGUGGGGGAUAACUACUCGAAAGAGUGGCUAAUACCGCAUGAGAUCUACGGAUGAAAGAAGGGGAUCGCAAGACCUUGUGCUACUAGAGCGGCCGAUUGCAGAUUAGGUAGUUGGUGGGAUAAAAGCUUACCAAGCCGACGAUCUGUAGCUGGUUGGAGAGGACGAUCAGCCACACUGGGACUGAGACACGGCCCAGACUCCUAAGGGAGGCAGCAGUGGGGAAUUUUGGACAAUGGGCGCAAGCCUGAUCCAGCAAUGCCGCGUGCAGGAUGAAGGCCUUCGGGUUGUAAACUGCUUUUGUACGGAACGAAAAGCCCCGGGUUAAUACCCUGGGGUCAUGACGGUACCGUAAGAAUAAGCACCGGCUAACUACGUGCCAGCAGCCGCCGUAA
rnacentral:rRNA from 1 species